rnacentral:tRNA from 1 species
GGGGUUGUAGCUCAGUGGUGGAGCACUUGCCUUGCAUGAAGGAGGCCCUUGGGUUCGAUCCUCAGCACCACA